rnacentral:lncRNA from 1 species
UUUCAAGCUCAAGUUAUUAGGGUAUUAGUAGUUAUGGCCGUAUGUUGUACUUUGUCUUUUUCAAAUUAUGCUAAUUUGAAUUUUUGAGUAAUGAGUUGUGACUAUUUUGCAUUUAUUUUGUUUAGUGAGGACUAUUGCUAUUGACUAUCGGACUCAAGUGGGUGUACCGUGCUAAUAGCGAUGCCUAGGCCCAAGUACUCUCAAAUCCAUAUCUCCGCGCCUUUGAAUGUUGUGGUACGUAACUGUGGCUUUAAAUUUUGUAUAUUUAUCUUGGGCCUUAAUUAACCUGAACUUGAAGUUCCCCGGGUUCAAUUUCAAGCUCAAGUUAAUUAGGUAUUAUUAGACAAGGCCUUAUGUUUUAAAUACGCUUUGGCCCUUUGUCAAAAUUAGCUGAUUUGAGUUUUUUGUGUAAUAUGUAGUGACUGUUUUUGCAUUUGGUCUGUUUUGCGAGGACUUUGCUAUUGACUAUACCCGUAUUCAACUUCAAGUCGGUAUUUAGGUACUUGUUUUUGUUGUUAUUAUUUUAUGUUGUUUUUUUAUUUAUAGCAUGAUUUUAAUGUUUGAGUACGAGUGAGUGACUGCCUUUGCUUUUUUGUUUUGUCGAGGACUAAUACUGUUGACUAUCGGGUUUAAAUUUCAUCAGCUCAAGUGUAUUAGGGUAAUUAUUAGUUAUUUCCGUAUGCUUUACUUUGUCUUUUUCAAAUAUGCUAAUUUGAAUUUUUGAGUAAUGAUUUGGCUGACUAUUUUCAUUGAUUUUUUGUUUAGUGAGGACUAUUGCUAUUGACUAUCCGGACUCAAGUUGGUGUUACCGUGGUAAAGCGAUGCCUGGCCCAAUACUCUCAACCAUAUCCCACCCUUUGAAUGUUGUGGUCGUAACUGAUGGCUUAAAUUUGUUGUCAUUUAUUCUUGGGCCUUAAUUAACCCUAACGUGAAUUUCCCCGGUUCAAUUUCAAGCGUCAUGUUAAUUAGGAAUUAUUAGACAAGGCCCUUUAUUUAAACUUUGUCCUUUUUACAAGUUAUCUGAUUUGAGUUUUGUUGUGUAAUAUGUAUGACUGUUUUUGCUUUGUUUUCGUUUUCGAGGAACUAUUCUCUUGACUACCGGAUUCAACUUCAGCUCGAGUUAUUUUAGGUACUUUUUGUUAGUACUUUAUGUUGUUUUUUUAUCUACAAGCAUGAUUUUAAAAUGUUUUGAGUAACGAGUAGUGACAGCUUUUUGCAUUUUGUUUUGUUUUGGCGAGGACUAAUACUGUUGACUAUCGGUUGUUAAUUUCAAGCUCGAAGUUAUUAGGGUAUUAUUAGUUAUGGCCGUUAUGUUGACUUGUCUUUUUCAAAUAUGCUAAUUGAUUUUUGAGUAAUGAGUUUGACAUUUUGCAUUAUUUUUGUUUAGUGAGGACUAUUGCUAUGGACUAUCGGGGACUGGAAUCAAGUGGGUGUACGUACUAAAUAGCGAUGCCUAGGCCCAAGUUCUCAAAUCCAUAUCUCCGCGCCUUUGAAUGUUUGUGGUACGUAACUGUUGACUUUAAAUUUUGUAAUUACUUGGGCCGUAAGUUACACCUGAACUGGAAGUCCCGGGUUCAAUUUCAAGCUCAAGUUAAUAGUAUUAUUAGACAGGACUUUAUGUUGUACUUGUAUUUUAAAAUUAUGACUGAUUUGAGUUUUUGUCUGUAGUAAGAUGUAGUGAACGUUUUUGCAUUGUCGUUUGCGAGGACUAUGCCCUAUUGACUACCGGAUUCAACUUAAAGUGCGAGUUAUUUAGGUUAACUUUUUGUUAGUACUUUAUGUGUGUUUUUAUUUAGAGACAUGAUUUAUGUUUGAGUAACGAGUAGUGACUGCUUGCAUUUUUUUGUUUUGCGUGAGGACUAAUUCUGUUGAAUAGUCGGGGUUUAAUUCAAGUCAAGUUAUUAGGGAUUAGUAGUUAUGGCCGCAUGUGUACUUGUCUUUUUCAAAUUAUGCCUAAUUGAAUUUUUGAGAGUAAUAGUGUGACUGUAUUUUGCCUUAUUUUGUUUAGUGAGGACUAAUGCUAUUGACUAUCGGAUCAAGUGGGUUUGUACCGUGCUAAUAGCGAUGCCUAAGGCCCAAAGUACUCUCAAAUCCAUAUACUCCGCGCCUUUGAAUGUUGUGGGGAGUACGUAAUGUGCUUUAAAUUUUGUUAUAUUAUCUUUGGCCUUAAUAACCUUGAACUGGAAGUUCCCGGGUUAAUUCAAGCUCAAGUUAUUAGGUAUAUUAGACAGGCCUUAUGUUGUGUACUUGUCUUUUUAAAAUUAUGCUGAUUUGAGUUUUUGUGUAAUAUGUAGUGACUGUUUUGCAUUUGUUCUGUUUUGCGAGGACUAUUGCUAUUGACUACCGGAUUCAACUUCAAGCUCGAGUUAUUUAGGUACUUUUUGUUAGUACUUUAUGUUGUUUUUUAUUUAUAGCAUGAUUUUAAUGUUUGAGUAACGAGUAGUGACUGCUUUGCAUUUUUUUUGUUUUGCGAGGACUAAUACUGUUGACUAUCGGGUUUAAUUUCAAGCUCAAGUUAUUAGGGUAUUAGUAGUUAUGGCCGUAUGCUGUACUUUGUCUUUUCCAAUAGCUAUUUGAAUUUUUGAGUAAUGAGUUGUGACUAUUUUGCAUUAUUUUGUUUUAGUGAGGACUAUUGCCUAUUGAUAUCGACUCAAGUGGGUGUACCGUGGUAAUAGCGCUGCCUAGGACCAAGUACUCUCAAACCAUAUCUCCACGCCUUAAUGUUGUGGUACUUAACUGUGGCUUUAAAUUUUGCUAUAUUUAUCUUGGGCCUUAAUUAACCUGAAACUUGAAGUCCACGGGUUCAAUUCAAGCUCAUUUAAUUAGGUAUAGUGACACGGGCCUUAUUAUUAAAAUUUGUCUUUAAAAUUAUGCUGAUUUGAGAUUUGGUUAAUAUGUAGUGACUGUUUUGCAUUUGUUCUGUUUUGCGAGGACUAUUGCUAUUGACUACCGGAUUCAACUUCAAGCUCGAGCUAUUUAGGUACUUUUUGUUAGUACUUUAUGUUGUUUUUUAUUUAUAGCAUGAUUUUAAUGUUUGAGUAACGUGUAGUGACUGCUUUGCAUUUUUUGUUUUGUUUUGCGAGGACUAAUACUGUUGACUAUCGGGUUUAAUUUCAAGCUCAAGUUAUUAGGGUAUUAGUAGUUAUGGCCGUAUGUGUACUUUGUCUUUUUCAAAUUACAGCUAUGUUGAAUUUGUGAGUACUGAGUUGCUGACUAUUUGCAUUGAUUUUGUUAUUUGAGGACUAUUGCUAUGACUAUCGGACCUCAAGUGGGUGUGUACCGUGCUAAUAGCGAUGCCUAGGCCAAAGUACUUCUCAAACCCAUAUCUCAAAGGCAUUUGAAUGUUGUUUUUACGAAACUGUGGCUUAAUUUUGUAUAUUUAUCUUGGGCCUUAAUUAACCUGAACUUGAAGUUUCCCGGGUUCAAUUUCAAGCUCAAGUUAAUUAGGAAUUAUUAGACAAGGCCUUAUGUUAAACUUUGUCUUUUUAAAAUUAUGCUGAUUUGAGUUUUUGUGUAAGAUGUAGUGACUGUUUUGCAUUUGUUCUGUUUUACGAGGACUAUUGCUAUUGACUACCGGAUUCAACUUAAAGUUCGAGUUAUUUAGGUACUUUUUGUUAGACUUGAUGUUGGUUUUAUUUACAGAAUGAUUUUAAUGUUGAGUAACGAGUAGUGAUGUUGCAUUUUUUUUUUUUGUUUUGCGAGGACUAGUUCUGUUGACUAUCGGGUUUAAUUCAAGCUCAAGUUUUAGGGUAUUAGUAGUUAUGGCCGUAUUAGGUUGUACUUUGUCCUUUUUCAAAUUACGCUAAUUUGGGAAUUUUGAGUAUGAGUUGUGACUAUUUUGCAGUUAUUUUGUUAGUGAGGACUAUUGCUAUGAACUAUCGGACUCAAGGGUGCUUGUACCGUGCUAAUAGCGAUGCCUGGGCCCAAGUAUUCGCAAAUCAAUAUUCUCCGCGCCUUUGAAUGUUUGUGGACGUAAAUGUUGCUUUAAAUUUUGGAUAUUUAUCUGGUCCUAAUUAACCUGAACUUGAAGUUCCCGGGUUGUUCAAUUUCAAGCUCAAGUUAUUAGGUAUUAUUAGACAGGCCUUAUGUUGUACUUUGUCGGUUUUAAAAAUUAUGCUGAUUUGAGUUUUUGUGUAAUAUGUAUGUGUGACGGGUUUGAUUUUGUCUGUUUUGCGAGACUAUGCUAGACUACCGGAUUCAACUAAAGCUCGCGAUUUAGGUACUUUUUGUUAGUACUUUAUGUGUUUUUUAUUUAUUGCAAUGAUUUUAAUGUUUGAGUAACGAGUUAGUAGUGACUGCGUUUGCAUUUUUUUUGUUUUGCGGAGGAGGACUUAAUAAUGUUGACUAUCGGGUUUAAUUUCAAGCCUCAAGUUAUUAGGGUAUAGUAGUUAUGGUCCGUAUUGCUGUACUUGUCUUUUUAAAAUUAUGGCUAAUUUGAAUUUUGAGUAAUAGUAAUGAGUUGUGGACGAUUUUGCAUUAUUUUGUUUAGUGAGGACUAUUGCUAUUGACUAUCGGACUCUCAAGUCGGGGUGUACCGUGGUAAUAGCGAUGCCUAGCCCAAGUACUCUCAAACAUAUCUCCACGCCUUUGAAUGUUGUCGGUACUUAACUGUGGCUUAAAUUUUGUAUAUUUAUCUUGGUAGCUUAAUUAACUGAACUUGAAGUUCCCGGGUUCACUUUCAAGAUCAUGUAAUUGAGGUAUUAUUAGACAAGGCCUAUAUAAACUUUGUCUUUUUAAAAUUAUGCUUGAUUUGAGUGUUUGGGUAAUAGCGUGACGUUUUGCAUUUGUUCUGUUUUGGCGGACUAUUGCACUAUUGACUACCGGAUUCAACUUCAAGCUCGAGCUAUUAGGUACUUUUUGUUAGUACUUAGUGAUUUUUAUUUAUAGAAUUGAUUUUAAUGUUUGAGUAACGAGUAGUGAUUGACUUUGCAUUUUUUUUGUUUUGCGAGCGGACUAAUUCUUGUUGACUAUCGGGUUUUUAAUUUCAAGCUCAAGUUAUUAGGGUUAUUAGUGUUAUGGCCGUAUGUUGUACUUUUGUCGUUUUCCAAUUAUGCUAAUUUGAAUUUUAAAGUAAUGAGUUUGUGACUCUUUUGCAUUUUUUUUGCUUAGUGAGGACUAUUGCUAGUGACUACGACUCCAGCAGUGGGUGUCCGUGCUAAUAGCGAUGCCUAGGCCCAAGUAACUCUCAAAUCCUAUCUCCACGCCUUUCAUUGUUGUGUGUACCAAACUGUGGCUUUAAAAAAUUUGUAUAUUUAUCUUGGGCCUUAAUUAACCUGAACUUGAAGUUUCCCGGGGUUCAAUUUCCAGCUCAAGUUAAUUAGGAAUUAUUAGACAAGGCCUUAUGUUGUCCUUUGUCUUUUUAAAUUACGCUGAUGUUUGUAGUUCUUUUUUCUGUGCCUUCUAAUCUGGACUUUAGUGUCAUCCCUCCUUGUGUUUGCUUGCAUUUGUUUCUUUUGUUUUGCAGGACUAUUGCUACUUCCCUUUAGAUCUUGCUUACCUUUCCCUAGCGUGCCUUUGCCAUCUUUAUGACCUUUUUCGUUCUCGCUAACCGUAUUUUUCCUUCUCAACUUCUAUACGGCAUCUCUCCUCCUUUUACCUUUCCUCCGAUGUUUUUUUUAGCGUACCCUUCCUCUUUUUUGUUCGGUACGCACCACUGACACUUCUUCUCUCGUGUGUGUUUAUUUCUUUUCGCUUUUUCGUUUUAUUACCUGUCGCUAGAUUUUUUGUUUGAGUACGAGUAGUGACUGCUUUGAGUGACUGACUGCUUUGCAUUUUUUUUUGUUUUGCGAGGCCUAAUCUGUUGACUAUCGGGUUUUAAUUUUCAAGCUCAGUUAUUAGGGUUUAGUAGUUAGGCCGCAUGUUGUACUUUGUCUUUUUCCAAAUUAUGCUAAUUUGAAUUUUUUGAUUAAUGAGUUGCGACUAUUUUUGCAUUUAUUUUGUUUGGGGGGGGGGUGAGGACUAUUGCUAUUGACUAUCGGGGACUGAGUGGGUUUACCGUGCUAAUAGCGAUGCCUAUGCCCAGUACUCUCAAAUCCAUAUUCUCCGCUCCUUUGAAUGUUGUGGUACUUAACUGUGGCGUUAAAUUUUGUCUAUUUAUCUUAGAGGCCUUAUUUAACCUUAACUUGAAGUUCCCCGGGUUUCAAUUUCAAGCUCAAGUUAAUUAGGUAUUAUUAGACAGGCCUUAUGUUGUCUUUUGUCGUUUUAAAUUAUGCUGAUUUUGAGUUUUUUGUGUAAUAUGUAUGACUGACUGUUUUGCAUUUGUUCUGUUUUGCGAGGACUAUUGCUUUGACUACCGCGGAUUCAACUGCAAGCUCGAGUUAUUUAUGUGUUAUUUUUUGUUAGUACUUUAUGUUUGUUUUUUAUUUUAAGCAUAUUUUAAUUAUGAAUACGGUAGUGACUGCUUUGCAUUUUUUUUGUUUUGCGAGGACUAAUACUGUUGACUAUCGGGUUUAAUUUCAAGCUCAAGUUAUUAGGGUAUUAGUAGUUAUGGCCGUAUGCUGUACUUUGUCUUUUUCAAAUUAUGCUAAUUUGAAUUUUUGAGUAAUGAGUUGUGACUAUUUUGCAUUUAUUUUGUUUAGUGAGGACUAUUGCUAUUGACUAUCGGACUCAAGUGGGUGUACCGUGGUAAUAGCGAUGCCUAGGCCCAAGUACUCUCAAAUCCAUAAUCCCACCUUUGAAUUUUGUGGUAACGUACUGUGGCCUUUAAAUUUUGUAUCUUUAUCAUCUUGGGCCUUAAUUAACCUGAACUUGAGUUCCCCGGGUUCAAUUUUCAAGCUCCAUGUUAAUUAGGUAUUAUUAUACAAGGCCUUAUAUUAAACUUUGUCUUUUAAAUUAGCUGAUUUGAGUUUUGUGUGUAUUGUAGUGACAGUUUGCAUUUGUUCUUUUUUGCGAGGACAAUUGCUCUUGACUACCGAUCAACUUCAACUCGAGUUAAUUUAGGAGGUACUUUUUGUUUAGUACUUUAUGGUGUUUUUUAUCUAACAGCAUGAUUUUAUGUUUGAGUAACGAGUUAGUUACAGCUUUGCUUUUUUUUUGUUUGCGAGGACUAAUACGGUUGACUAUCGGGUUUAUUGCAAGCUCCAGUUAUUAGGGUAUAGUAGUUGUGGCCGUAUGUUGUACUUUAUCUUUCAAAUUAUGGCUAAUUUGAAUUUUUUUGAGUAAUGAGUUGUGACUUUUUUUGCAUUUAUUUUGUUUAGUGAGGACUAUUGCUGUUGACUCUCGGACUCAAGUUUCAAGCUACGAGUUCUUUAGAGUACUUUUUCCCUUAGUACUUUAUUGUUAACAUUUUAUUUAUAACAUGAUUUUAAUGUUUGAGUAACGAUUUGUGGACUGCUUUGCAUUUUUUUGUUUUGGCGAGAGUAAUACUGUUGACUAGCGGGUUUAAUUUCAAUCUCAAGUUUUAGUGUAUUAGUAGUAUGGCAGUAUUUGUACUUUGUCUUUUCAUUAUGCUAAUUUGAAUUUUUUUUGAUUAAUGAUUUUGUGACUAUUUUGCAUUUAUUUUGUUUAGUGAUGCUAUUGGCUAUUGACUAUCGGACUCAAGUGGUGGUACCGUGCUAUAUCGAUGCUAGGCCCAAGUAUCUCUCAAUCCUAUCUCCGCUCCUUUGAAUUUGUGGUACUAACUGUUGCUUUAAAUUUUUGUUAUUUAUCUUGGUGCCUUAAUUAACCUGAACUUUGAAGUUCCCCCCUCCCCCCCGGGUUCAAUUUCAAGCUCAUUUAAUUAGGUAUUAUUAACAAGCCUUAUGUUUUUACUUGUCUUUUAAAAUUAUGCGGAUUUGAGUUUUUGUGUAAUAUGUUAGUACUUUUUGCAUUUGUUCCUUGUUUUGGCGAGGAUAUUGCUUUGACUACCCUACCCGGAUUCACUUCACAAAGCUCCUAUUGUAUUUAUGUACUGUUUGUUAGUACUGAGAAUGGGGGGGGGGGAGGGGGGGUGGGGGGGGGGGGGUAGUCAAGAACAGAAAAUGGGGGGUGCUGUCGAUCUUUUUUUUUUUCUGGUUCUCAACAGGAAAAAAGUCAUGAUUUUAAUGUUGGAAGUAACUAGUAGUGACUGCUUAUGCAUUUUUUUUGUUUUUGCGAGGACUAUACUUGACUAUCGGGUUUUAUUUUUUAUUUCAGCUCAAUUUAGGGUAUUAGUAUUAAAUGCCGUAUGCUGUACUUUUGUCUUUUCAAUUAUGCUAAUUUGAUUCUUGAGUAUGAGUUUUGUGCUAGUUUUGCAUUUAGUUUGUUUUCGUGAGGACUAUUUCUAUUGACUAUCGGACUCAAGUGGGUGUAACCGUGCGAUAGCCUAUGCCUAGGCCCAAUUAACUCCCCCCUCAAUCCAUAUCUCUUCGCCUUUGAAUGUUUUGGUCGUAACGUGGCUUUUAAUUUUGUAUUUUAUCUUGGGCCUUAAAUUAACUGACCUUGAAGUUCCCCGGGUUCAAAUUUCAAGCUCAAUUUAUUAGUAUUAUUAGACAAGGCCUUAUGUUGUACUUUGUCCUUUUUAAAAUUAUGGCUGAUUUGAGUUUUUUGUGUAAUAUGUAGUGACUGUUUUGCAUUUUUUCUGUUUUGCGAGGACUAUGCUAUUUGACUAUCGGAUUCCACCUUCAAAAGCUCCGAGUUCUUUAGGUACUUUUUUGUUAGUACUUUUAUGUGUUGUUUAUUUAUCUCAUGUUUUCAUGUUUUGCUUCCCUCGUAGUGACUUUCUUGCAUUUUUUUGUUUUGCGAGGACUAAUACUGUUGACUUCGGGUUAAUUUCAAGCUCAAGGUUAUUUAAGUUAUUAGUGUUCUUGGCCGUAUGUUGUACUUUGGUCAUUUUCAAUUAUGCUAAUUUGAAUUUUUGAGAAUGAGUUGUUACUAUUUUGCAUUUAUUUUGUUUAGUGAGGACUAUUGCUAUUGACUAUCGGACUCAAGUGGGUGUACCGUGCUAAUAGCGAUGCCUAGGCCCAAGUACUCUCAAAUCCAUAUCUCCGCGCCUUUGAAUGUUGUGGUACGUAACUGUGGCUUUAAAUUUUGUAUAUUUAUCUUGGGCCUUAAUUAACCUGAACUUGAAGUUCCCCGGGUUCAAUUUCAAGCUCAUGUUAAUUAGGUAUUAUUAGACAAGGCCUUAUAUUAAACUUUGUCUUUUUAAAAAUUAUGCGAUUGAGUUUGUGUAAUAGUAUAUUGACUGUUUUACAUUCUUCUGUUUUGCGAGGACUAUUAGCUCUUGACUACCUACCCCGAAUCACUUCAAGCUCGAGUUAAUUUAAGUUAGCUUUUUGUUAGUACUUAUGUUGUUUUUUUAUCUACGCAUGAUUUUAAUGUUUGAGUAACGAGUAGUGCACUUGCAUUUUUUUUUUUUUGUUUUGCGAGGACUAAUACUUUUUGACUAUCGGGUUUAAUUCAAGCUCAAGUUCUUAGGGUAUUAGUAGUUAAUGGCCGUAUUUGUACUUUACUUUUUCAAAUUAAUGCUAAUUGAAUUUUUGAGUAAAUGAGUUGUGACUAUUUGCAUUUAUUUUGUUUAUGAGGACUAUUCCUAUUGGACUAUCUGACUUCAAUUCAAGCUCUAGUUAUUUAUGUACUUUUUUCUUAGUACUUUAUGUUGUUUUUUUAUUUAUAAGCAUGAUUUUAAUGUUUGAGUAACGAGUUUGGACUGCUUUGGCAUUUUUUUGUUUUGGAGAGUCAUACUGUUUCCUAUCGCGUUUAAUUUUCCAGCUCAAGUAUUAGGGUAUUAGUAGUUAUGGCCGUAUGUUGUACUUGUCUUUUUUCAAAUUAGCUAAUUGGAAUUUUUUGAGUAAUGAUUGUGACUAUUUUUGCAUUUAUUUUGUUUAGUGAGGACUAUUGCCUAUGACUAUCGACUCAAGUGGGUGUACCGUGCUAAAUAGCGUGCCUAGGGCCCAAGUACUCUCAAUCCAUAUCUCCCGCCUUUGAAUGUUGUGGUAACUACUGUGGCUUUAUUUUGUAUAUUUAUCUUGGCCUUAAUACCUGACUUAAGUUCCCGCGUUUCAAUUUCAAUCGUCAUGUUAUUGGUUUAUUAUAGAUCAGGCCUUAUGGUUGUACUUUGUCUUUUUAAAAUUAUGCUGAUGUGAGUUUUUGUGAUAAUAUGUAUGACUUGUGUGCAUGUUCUGUUUUGGCGAGACUAUUGCUAUUUGACUACCGGAUUCAACUUCAAGCUGAGUAUUUAUGUACUUUUUGUUAGUACUUUAUGUUUGUUUUUUUUAUAGCAUGAUUUUAAUGUUUGAGUAACGAGUAGUGACUGCUUUGCAUUUUUUUUGUUUUGCGAGGACUAAUCGUUGACAUAUCGGGUUUAAUUUCAAAUCUCAAGUUAUUGGGUAUUAGUAGUUAUGGCCGUAUGUUGUACUUUGUCUUUUUCAAAUUAUGCUAAUUUGAAUUUUUGAGUAAUGAGUUGUGACUAUUUUGCAUUUAUUUUGUUUAGUGAGGACUAUUGCUAUUGACUAUCCGGACUCAAGUGGGUGUACGUUCUAAUAAAAUAUCGAUGCCUAGCCCAAGUACUCUCAAAUCCAUAGCUCCGCGCCUUUGAUGUUGUGGUACGUAACUGUGAGCUUUAAUUUAUGUAUAUUUAUCUUGGGCCUUAAUUAAACCUGAACCUUGAAGUUCCCCCCGGGUUCAAUUUCAACUCAAGUUAUUAGUAUUAUUAGCAAGGCCUUAUGUUGUACUUUGUCUUUUUAAAAUUAUGCUGAUUUGAGUUUUGUUAAUAUGUGUGACUUUUUUGCAUUUGUUUCUGUUUUGCGAGACAUGGCUAUUGACUACCGGAUUCAACUUAAAGUUCGAGUUUAUUUGUCAUUUUUGUUAGUACUUUAUGUUGUUUUUUAUUAUAGCAUAUUUUAAUGUUUGAAAGUAACGAGUAGUUACUGCUUUGGUCAUUUUUUUUUGUUUUUGGCGAGGACUAAUACUGUCUGACUAAUCGGGUUUAAUUUCAAGGCUCAAGUUAUUAGGGUAUUAGUAGUUAGGCCGUAUGUUGUACUUUGUCCUUUCAAAUUAUGCUAAUUUGAAUUUUUGUGUAAUGAGUUGUGCGAUUUUUUGCAUUUUAUUUUGUUUAGUGAGACUAUUCUAUUGACUACGGACGCAAGUGGGUGACCUGCUAAUAGCGAUUCCUAGGCCCAAGUACGCAUCAAAUCCAUAUCCUCCGCGCCUUUGAAUGUUGUGGUCACGUAACUGUGGCUUUUAAAUUUUGUAUAUUUAAUCUUGGGCCCUAUUAACCUGAACUUGAAGGUUCCCCGGUUCAAUUUCAAGCUCAAGUUAAUUAGGUAUUAUUAGACAAGGCCUUAUGUUUUACUUUGUCUUUUUAAAAUUAUGCUGAUUUGAGUUUUGUGUAAUAUGUAGUGA